UUUUAUGGAGAGUUUGAUCCUGGCUCAGAGUGAACGCUGGCGGCGUGCCUAAUACAUGCAAGUCGAACGAUGAAGCUUCUAGCUUGCUAGAAGUGGAUUAGUGGCGCACGGGUGAGUAAGGUAUAGUUAAUCUGCCCUACACAAGAGGACAACAGUUGGAAACGACUGCUAAUACUCUAUACUCCUGCUUAACACAAGUUGAGUAGGGAAAGUUUUUCGGUGUAGGAUGAGACUAUAUAGUAUCAGCUAGUUGGUAAGGUAAUGGCUUACCAAGGCUAUGACGCUUAACUGGUCUGAGAGGAUGAUCAGUCACACUGGAACUGAGACACGGUCCAGACUCCUACGGGAGGCAGCAGUAGGGAAUAUUGCGCAAUGGGGGAAACCCUGACGCAGCAACGCCGCGU
rnacentral:rRNA from 2 species